rfam:Penicillium coprophilum strain IBT 31321 PENCOP_contig006, whole genome shotgun sequence.
GGGGCUGUGGCGCAACGGUAGCGCGUGCGACUCCAGUUCGCAAGGUUAUCCGUUCAAAUCGGGUCAGCCUCA